GAUGAACGCUGCCGGCGUGCCUAAUACAUGCAAGUCGAGCGAACGGACGAGAAGCUUGCUUCUCUGAUGUUAGCGGCGGACGGGUGAGUAACACGUGGAUAACCUACCUAUAAGACUGGGAUAACUUCGGGAAACCGGAGCUAAUACCGGAUAAUAUUUUGAACCGCAUGGUUCAAAAGUGAAAGACGGUCUUGCUGUCACUUAUAGAUGGAUCCGCGCUGCAUUAGCUAGUUGGUAAGGUAACGGCUUACCAAGGCAACGAUGCAUAGCCGACCUGAGAGGGUGAUCGGCCACACUGGAACUGAGACACGGUCCAGACUCCUACGGGAGGCAGCAGUAGGGAAUCUUCCGCAAUGGGCGAAAGCCUGACGGAGCAACGCCGCGUGAGUGAUGAAGGUCUUCGGAUCGUAAAACUCUGUUAUUAGGGAAGAACAUAUGUGUAAGUAACUGUGCACAUCUUGACGGUACCUAAUCAGAAAGCCACGGCUAACUACGUG
rnacentral:rRNA from 1 species